rnacentral:rRNA from 1 species
UCCAGACUCCUACGGGAGGCAGCAGUGGGGAAUAUUGCACAAUGGGGGAAACCCUGAUGCAGCGACGCCGCGUGAGUGAAGAAGUAAUUCGUUAUGUAAAGCUCUAUCAGCAGGGAAGAAAAUGACGGUACCUGAGUAAGAAGCCCCGGCUAACUACGUGCCAGCAGCCGCGGUAAUACGUAGGGGGCAAGCGUUAUCCGGAUUUACUGGGUGUAAAGGGAGCGUGGACGGAAAGGCAAGUCAGAAGUGAAAGCCCAAGGCUCAACCAUGGGACUGCUUUUGAAACUGUCAAACUAGAGUACGGGAGAGGUAAGAGGAAUUCCUAGUGUAGCGGUGAAAUGCGUAGAUAUUAGGAGGAACACCAGUGGCGAAGGCGACUUUCUGGACUGUACCUGACGCUGAGGCGCGAAAGCGUGGGUAGCGAACGGGAUUAGAUACCCCGGUA